UCCAUUCUUGGUCUUUGUGGAGUCUGAUGUUCUCAAUCGGGAUCUUCUUCCUAGCAUGUGUUGAAGCCUCAGCAGACAUCUUGCUCCUUGACCUACUUAAUAGUUCCAUUAGAACUUACAGUCUAUAAAUGCAUGGGCAUGGGAAAGUGGGGUAGUAUUUCUUACUUAAAUAUACUAUCAACUAACACCAGGGCUCUUGGCUAAGAACCUGUGCUUGAGGUCCUGGAAUAGGAUGUGAGCAUUGUAAAUAGGGAAAACUGAAGAAACUGCUCUCAGGGAGACAUAUAUGGUCUAAACUCUGCAUAUAGGUCAACCCUACUCAGAGAAGCACCUGUUCAUGGGUGGUUCCGGCAAAAGUGCAAGCACGUUAGGAGUGAGAAGCAAGCCUAGGAGCUAGAGAGACUGCUCUGCAGUCAGGAACACUGACUGCUAUUCUAGAAAACCUAGGUUCAAUUCCCAGAGCCACAUGGUGUCUAACAACUAUCUAUAGCCCUAAGUGAAGGGAGAAUCUGAUGACAUGGGUACUGCACACAUGGUGGCCUGACAUAUAUGUAGGCAAAAUACUCAUACACAUAAAAUUAUUUUUAAAACAUUAUUAAGAAGACAGCCUAUUGUCAGUGUCCUUUGCCUUACAGAAGCUUUUCAGUUUCAAGAGAUCCCAUUUGCCAAUUGCUGAUCUUAGAGCCUAAGCCAUUGUAAUUCUAUUCAGGAAAUUUCCCCUGUGUCAAUGCAUUCAAGACUAUUUCCCACUUUCUCUUCUGUUAGAGUCAAUGUAUCCGGUUUUAUGUUGAGGUCCUUGAUCCAGCUGGACUUGAGCUUUAUGCAGGGAGAUAAACAUGGGUCAAUUUGCAUUCUUCUACAUGCAGAUAGACAGUUAGAUCAGGACCAUUUGUUGAAGAUGCUUUCUAUUGAUUGACUGUCUGUCUCUGUACCAAUACUGUAAUAUCCAAAAUAAAUUUACUACCCCAUACCUUCCCCCUUCAAAAGGACUUUCCAAACUGUACUAGCAGGCCAAGUACAGAGCCAGAUAAAAAGCUGGCUGACUAAACAAAUAGAAAGGUAGUUUUAAUUGUCAAAAACAAGAUUAACAAUCCCCCUGCCCCACCUCACUCUAAAAAAUCCACAAGGACAGACAAAAUAAGAGUCACCCUAUACAAACAACUAAUAUCCAAAAAGGUUAUUGACUAUACCAAUUAAAAUAAGCCAAACUACCCUGGUGCCUAAAUCCGCCCCUUACAAAGGUAUAAAAAGUGUGCUCCUUCUUUGUUCUGGGUCUCUCCUCCGGUUCCCCAACAUGUUGAAUAAGUAAAAUCCUCAUGUGUUUUGCAACGAUGGUGGUCUCUGUGCUCUUUGUGGGUGAGGGAUUUUUGACAAACUACAACAAUACCAUGCGGUUUUUAAAAUUUUUUAAAAUCACUUUUGUUAUUUGAUAAAAGGUCAGGGACAGUGAUUUCCCCAGAAGUUCUUUUAUUGUUCAGAACUGUUUUGGCUAUCUUGAGUUUUAUAUCCCAUAGACCGUAAGAACUUAAGCAAGAAGACCCAAGGGAGGAUAUUUCAAUCCCACUUAGAAGUAGGAACAAAAUAAUCACAGAAAACAGAGGGAGGGAAGCAACUGGGUGAGAGAGGAGAGGGGAAGGGGAAACGGGGGACAGGAUCAGGUAUGGGGGAAAACAAGAGAGAAGCAAAAAGGACCAGAAGAAUGGAUGGAAAUACGUGACUGCCAGGGGCAGGGGGAACUUCUAGAAAGUCCCAGAGACCUGGGAUGUGAGAGACUCCCAGGACUCAAUGGGGGGUGGCCUUAGCUGAAAUUCCCAAUAGUGGGGAGAUGG
rnacentral:lncRNA from 1 species